rnacentral:miRNA from 1 species
UGGAAUUCCAAAAACCCUCCU